CGCUGGCGGCGUGCUUAACACAUGCAAGUCGACGAAUGAAGCUCCAGCUUGCUGGAGUGGAUUAGUGGCGAACGGGUGAGUAACACGUGAGCAACCUGCCCCGAACUCUGGGAUAAGCGCUGGAAACGGCGUCUAAUACCGGAUACGAACCAGAGCGGCAUCGCUUCUGGUGGGAAAGAAUUUCGGUUCGGGAGGGGCUCGCGGCCUAUCAGCUAGUUGGUGAGGUAAUGGCUCACCAAGGCGUCGACGGGUAGCCGGCCUGAGAGGGUGACCGGCCACACUGGGACUGAGACACGGCCCAGACUCCUACGGGAGGCAGCAGUGGGGAAUAUUGCACAAUGGGCGCAAGCCUGAUGCAGCAACGCCGCGUGAGGGACGACGGCCUUCGGGUUGUAAACCUCUUUUAGUAGGGAAGAAGCCUUCGGGUGACGGUACCUGCAGAAAAAGCGCCGGCUAACUACGUGCCAGCAGCCGCGGUAAUACGUAGGGCGCAAGCGUUAUCCGGAAUUAUUGGGCGUAAAGAGCUCGUAGGCGGUUUGUCGCGUCUGCUGUGAAAACUGGAGGCUCAACCUCCAGCCUGCAGUGGGUACGGGCAGACUAGAGUGCGGUAGGGGAGAUUGGAAUUCCUGGUGUAGCGGUGGAAUGCGCAGAUAUCAGGAGGAACACCGAUGGCGAAGGCAGAUCUCUGGGCCGUAACUGACGCUGAGGAGCGAAAGAGUGGGGAGCAAACAGGCUUAGAUACCCUGGUAGUCCACUCCGUAAACGUUGGGAACUAGUUGUGGGGGCCUUUCCACGGUCUCCGUGACGCAGCUAACGCAUUAAGUUCCCCGCCUGGGGAGUAC
rnacentral:rRNA from 1 species